AACGAACGCUGGCGGCAUGCCUAACACAUGCAAGUCGAACGAGACCUUCGGGUCUAGUGGCGCACGGGUGCGUAACGCGUGGGAACCUGCCCUUAGGUUCGGAAUAACUCCCCGAAAGGGGUGCUAAUACCGGAUAAUGUCUUCGGACCAAAGAUUUAUCGCCUUUGGAUGGGCCCGCGUUGGAUUAGCUAGUUGGUAGGGUAAAAGCCUACCAAGGCGACGAUCCAUAGCUGGUCUGAGAGGAUGAUCAGCCACACUGGGACUGAGACACGGCCCAGACUCCUACGGGAGGCAGGAGUGGGGAAUAUUGGAAAAGGGGCGAAAGCCUGAUCAAGCAAUGCCGCGUGAGUGAUGAAGGCCUUAGGGUAGUAAAGCUCUUUUACACGGGAUGAUAAUGACAGUACCGGGAGAAUAAGCGCCGGCUAACUACGUG
rnacentral:rRNA from 1 species